rnacentral:tRNA from 1 species
GUAGAUAUAGUUUAAGUAAAACAUUAGAUUGUGAUUCUAAAGAUAGAAGUUGAAACCUUCUUACCCACC